rnacentral:rRNA from 1 species
AGUGAACGCUGGCGGUAGGCCUAACACAUGCAAGUCGAACGGCAGCACAGUAAGCGCUUGCUCUUACGGUUGGCGAGUGGCGGGCGGGUGAGGAAUGCAUCGGCAUCUACUUUUUCGUGGGGGAUAACGUAGGGAAACUUACGCUAAUACCGCAUACGACCUACGGGUGAAAGCAGGGGAUCUUCGGACCUUGCGCGAUUGUAUGAGCCGAUGUCGGAUUAGCUAGUUGGUGGGGUAAAGGCCCACCAAGGCGACGAUCCGUAGCUGAUCUGAGAGGAUGAUCAGCCACACUGGAACUGAGACACGGUCCAGACUCCUACGGGAGGCAGCAGUGGGGAAUAUUGGACAAUGGGCGCAAGCCUGACCCAGCCAUACCGCGUGAGUGAAGAAGGCCUUCGGGUCGUAAAGCCCUGUUGUUGGGAAAGAAAAGCAGCAGGUUAAUACCCCGCUGUUCUGACGGUACCUAAAGAAUAAGCACCGGCUAACUUCGUG